UACGUAGGGUCCAAGCGUUAAUCGGAAUUACUGGGCGUAAAGCGUGCGCAGGCGGUUCGCAAAGACAGGUGUGAAAUCCCCGGGCUUAACCUGGGAACUGCGCUUGUAACUAGCGGGCUAGAGUACGGCAGAGGGGGGUGGAAUUCCACGUGGUAGCAGUGAAAUGCGUAGAGAUGUGGAGGAACACCGAUGGCGAAGGCAGCCCCCUGGGCUAGUACUGACGCCUGAGGCGCGAAAGCCAGGGGAGCAAACGGGG
rnacentral:rRNA from 1 species